UACGUAGGGUGCAAGCGUUAAUCGGAAUUACUGGGCGUAAAGCGUGCGCAGGCGGUCUCGCAAGUCCGAUGUGAAAUCCCCGGGCUCAACCUGGGAACUGCGUUGGAAACUACGAGGCUAGAGUACGGCAGAGGGGGGUGGAAUUCCACGUGUAGCAGUGAAAUGCGUAGAUAUGUGGAGGAACACCGAUGGCGAAGGCAGCCCCCUGGGCUAGUACUGACGCUCAUGCACGAAAGCGUGGGGAGCAAACAGG
rnacentral:rRNA from 1 species